UACGUAGGGUGCAAGCGUUAAUCGGAAUUACUGGGCGUAAAGCGUGCGCAGGCGGUUAUGUAAGACAGGUGUGAAAUCCCCGGGCUUAACCUGGGAACUGCAUUUGUGACUGCAUAGCUAGAGUACGGUAGAGGGGGAUGGAAUUCCGCGUGUAGCAGUGAAAUGCGUAGAGAUGUGGAGGAACACCGAUGGCGAAGGCAGCCCCCCUGGGUUAACACUGACGCUCAGGCACGAAAGCGUGGGGAGCAAACAGG
rnacentral:rRNA from 1 species